rnacentral:rRNA from 1 species
GAGUUUGAUCUUGGCUCAGGAUGAACGCUGGCGGCGUGCCUAAUACAUGCAAGUCGGAGCGAACGGGACGAGAAGCUUGCUUCUCUGAUGUUAGCGGCGGACGGGUGAGUAACACGUGGAUAACCUACCUAUAAGACGUGGGAUAACUUCGGGGAAACCCGGAGCUAACUACCGGAUAAUAGUUUUUGAACCGCAUGGUUCAAAAGUGAAAGACGGUC